rnacentral:misc_RNA from 1 species
AUUUAUUCUUGAUCUUACAGCACAAG